rnacentral:rRNA from 1 species
AUUGAACGCUGGCGGCAUGCCUAACACAUGCAAGUCGAACGAGUGGCGGACGGGUGAGUAAUGUCUGGUAAACUGCCUGAUGGAGGGGGAUCACUACUGGAAACGGUCGCUAAUACCGCCUACCAUCGUAUUUGCCCAGCUGGGAUUAGCUAGUAGGUGGGGUAAAGGCUCACAUAGGCGAGGAUCCCUAGCUGGUCGGAGAGGAUGACCAGCCACACUGGAACUGAAACAGGGUCCAGACUCCUACGGGAGGAAGCAGUGGGGAAUAUUGCACAAGGGGCGAAAGCCUGAUGCAGCAAUGCCGCGUGUAUGAAGAAGGCCUUCGGGUUGUAAAGUACUUUCAGCGGGGAGGCGUUACCCGAAGAAGAAGCAACGGCUAACUACGUGCCAGCAGCCGCGGUAAUUC